GGUGGAGGCACGUCGAAAUGCAAAUUCGGAGAGGCACCACAAGGUGCUCCGGCUU
rnacentral:tRNA from 1 species